AUGGCAGGAAAAGGUGAAGGGCCAGCCAUUGGAAUUGAUUUGGGUACUACCUACUCCUGUGUAGGUGUAUGGCAACAUGAUCGUGUUGAAAUUAUAGCAAAUGAUCAAGGCAACAGAACCACACCCUCUUAUGUUGCUUUUACUGAUACUGAACGCCUCAUUGGUGAUGCUGCGAAGAAUCAAGUCGCUAUGAACCCAGUUAACACUGUAUUCGAUGCUAAGCGUUUAAUUGGAAGGAGAUUUAGUGAUCCUUCGGUGCAGAGCGAUAUGAAAUUAUGGCCUUUUAAGGUUAUACCCGGGCCUGCUGACAAGCCAAUGAUUGUUGUUACAUACAAGGGUGAGGAGAAGCAAUUUUCUGCUGAGGAAAUCUCAUCCAUGGUCUUAACCAAAAUGAAGGAGAUUGCUGAGGCAUACCUUGGGACAACAAUCAAGAAUGCGGUCGUCACAGUCCCUGCUUACUUCAAUGAUUCGCAGCGUCAGGCAACUAAAGAUGCUGGUGUCAUAUCUGGUCUUAAUGUGAUGCGUAUAAUCAACGAACCAACAGCAGCUGCAAUUGCCUAUGGACUUGACAAGAAAUCUACCAGUACUGGUGAGAAAAAUGUGUUGAUUUUCGACUUAGGUGGUGGUACUUUUGAUGUCUCUUCUCACUAUUGAAGAGGGGAUUUUUGAGGUUAAAGCUACUGCUGGUGAUACUCACUUGGGAGGUGAGGAUUUUGAUAAUAGAAUGGUGAAUCAUUUCGUUCAAGAGUUCAAGAGGAAGCAUAAGAAGGAUAUUAGUGGGAAUCCGAGAGCCUUGAGGAGGUUAAGGACUGCUUGUGAGAGGGCUAAGAGGACUUUAUCAUCCACUGCUCAAACAACAAUUGAAAUUGAUUCGUUGUAUGAAGGGAUUGAUUUUUACACAACUAUCACUUGGGCAAGAUUUGAGGAGAUGAACAUGGACUUGUUCAGGAAGUGUAUGGAGCCUGUGGAGAAGUGUUUGAGAGAUGCUAAGAUGGAUAAAAGCGGCGUUCAUGAUGUGGUUCUUGUUGGUGGGUCAACUAGGAUCCCCAAAGUUCAACAAUUACUUCAAGAUUUUUUUAAUGGAAAGGAGCUUUGCAAGAGUAUCAACCCCGAUGAAGCAGUUGCUUAUGGUGCAGCUGUGCAAGCUGCAAUUUUGAGCGGUGAAGGCAACGAGAAGGUUCAAGAUUUGUUGCUGUUGGAUGUCACUCCUCUGUCACUCGGUUUAGAAACCGCGGGAGGUGUAAUGACUGUGUUGAUUCCAAGAAAUACAACCAUUCCAACCAAGAAGGAGCAAGUUUUCUCUACAUACUCGGACAACCAACCCGGUGUGCUGAUCCAGGUGUACGAAGGAGAAAGAGCGAGGACCAAGGACAACAACCUGUUAGGCAAGUUUGAACUCUCUGGCAUCCCACCUGCACCAAGGGGUGUUCCUCAGAUCAAUGUCUGCUUCGACAUUGAUGCCAAUGGAAUCCUGAAUGUUUCCGCAGAGGACAAAACUACCGGACAGAAGAGCAAGAUAACUAUCACCAACGACAAGGGUCGACUCUCCAAGGAAGAGAUUGAGAGAAUGGUGCAAGAAGCUGAGAAGUACAAGUCUGAAGAUGAAGAGCUCAAGAAAAAGGUGGAAGCUAAGAAUGGAUUGGAGAAUUACGCUUACAACAUGAGGAACACUAUUAAAGAUGACAAGGUUAGUUCCCAACUUCCAGCUGCUGAUAAGAAGAAAAUUGAGGACGCGAUCGAUGAAGCUAUCAAGUGGAUAGACAGCAACCAACUUGCAGAAGCUGAUGAGUUCGAAGACAAGAUGAAGGAACUGGAAAGCAUAUGCAAUCCGAUUAUUGCCAAGAUGUAUCAAGGUGGUGCUGGUGGAGCUACUAUGGAUGAAGAUGGUGGUCCUUCUGUUGGUGGUGGUGCAGGAAGUGGUGCUGGACCAAAGAUUGAGGAAGUGGAUUAGGAGUUUUUGAGUUGAAUUGUUUUACUUGUUUGUUACUAAGUAUGCUUUGAAUAGCCUUUUGUAAUGAAAGUUUGUUCAUCCUUUUGUUGUUAAUAAAUUAUGUGCUUUUCAAUAUAGAAUUGAAGAAAGCUUCUGCUGUUCUUAUCCU